rnacentral:lncRNA from 1 species
UAAUGAUGUAAAAUGGUUUAAAAGAAUUUAAUCCUAAUCUAUCUACAAACGAUGUUUUAAAAUAUGUUCAUGCGAUGAAUGGGAUCUCGCGCAUGCCUUCCGCUACAAUCUAAAAAUUUUUUGAAAUUUUCUGCGGCGUGCGAGGGAUCCUAACAUAUCCUUUUUAGGAGCUCAGUUACCGAGGCACUUAGGGCCUCGGGAGGCUUGCUAGCGAUGGUAUUGAUAACAUCUGUUGUUGGGUGAUUGUCGAUUGGCUCUGGCGGCGGUGGAUUAGAGGCUGAAGCAGGCGCUUCUCGGUCCCAUCGAGGGCACACGUAUCAUUCUAGCCACCCGCCUCGAAUGAGUGCUUCAAUUUCAUCCUUGAGCUGAACCCACUCCUCGAUGUCGUGGCCGCAUUCUCAGUGGUAGCGAUGGUAUUUCUUCUAGCCUCUCUUGGUUGUCAGGCCCUUUAUCGGAUGUGGAGGGCAUAGAUUGCCUCGAUCUUCAACUUCUAUGAGGAUCCGGUGCUCAGACAAUGAGAGGGGUGUACUUCUCAAACUUUUGAGGAGGGCUCUUGGGUUAUCGCGAGCUCCUCUCGUGCCAAGGUAAGACACUUCUUGUUUCUUUACGCUCCUCGCAUCCCCACUUUCCUCCUCAGGGGUGGGGGAGGGGGUUCCCUCCAUU